AUGUUGCCAUGUCUACCUUUUCUAGAGGGUUCUCUUCCACCAACACCAUCUGCUGACUGUUGCACUGGAGCUACUAAUUUGUUCAAUAAGGCAAACACAACUCCUGUUAAGAGAAGUGUUUGCCAAUGUCUUAAAGAUGCUUCAACUAAAUUUGCAUAUAAAUCAGAUAGGGCUGCUCACCUUCCUCAACUUUGUCACAUUCAAUUGUCAUUUCCAAUUAGCGCUUCAACUGAUUGUAGCAAGAUUCAAUGA